rnacentral:rRNA from 1 species
UAGCGGUGAAAUGCGUAGAUAUCGGGAAGAACACCAGUGGCGAAGGCGCUCUGCUGGGCCCAUCACUGACGCUCAUGGACGAAAGCCAGGGGAGCGAAAAGGGAUUAGAUACCCCUGUAGUCCUGGCCGUAAACGAUGAACACUAGGUGUCGGGGGAAUCGACCCCCUCGGUGUCGUAGCCAACGCGUUAAGUGUUCCGCCUGGGGAGUACGCACGCAAGUGUGAAACUCAAAGGAAUUGACGGGGGCCCGCACAAGCGGUGGAGUAUGUGGUUUAAUUCGAUGCAACGCGAAGAACCUUACCAGGGUUUGACAUCCUGCGAAUCUCUUGGAAACAGGAGAGUGCCUUCGGGAACGCAGUGACAGGUGGUGCAUGGCUGUCGUCAGCUCGUGUCGUGAGAUGUUGGGUUAAGUCCCGCAACGAGCGCAACCCACGUCUUUAGUUGCCAGCAUUUAGUUGGGCACUCUAGGGAGACUGCCGGUGAUAAACCGGAGGAAGGUGUGGAUGACGUCAAGUCAUCAUGCCCCUUACAUCCUGGGCUACACACGUACUACAAUGCUACGGACAAAGGGCAGCAAGUUCGCGAGGACAAGCAAAUCCCAUAAACCGUGGCUCAGUUCAGAUCGUAGGCUGCAACUCGCCUACGUGAAGGCGGAAUCGCUAGUAAUCGCAGGUCAGCAUACUGCGGUGAAUACGUUCCCGGGCCUUGUACACACCGCCCGUCACACCAUGGAAGUUGGCCACGCCCGAAGCCGUUACUCCAACCCUUGUGGAGGAGGACGUCGAAGGUGGGGCUGUUGACUGGGGUGAAGUCGUAACAAGGUA